rnacentral:rRNA from 1 species
GCGAAAACUUUACAAUGCUGGCAACAGCGAUAAGGGAACCUCGAGUGUCAGGUUACAAAUCUGGCUGUCGAGAUGCCUAAAAAGCAUUUCAUAGCAAGGGCCGGGCAAGACCGGUGCCAGCCGCCGCGGUAACACCGGCGGCUCGAGUGGUAACCGUUAUUAUUGGGUCUAAAGGGUCUGUAGCCGGCCGGAUAAGUCUCUUGAGAAAUCUGGCAGCUUAACUGUCAGGCUUUCAGGAGAUACUGUCUGGCUCGAGGCCGGGAGAGGUGAGAGGUACUUAAGGGGUAGGGGUGAAAUCUUGUAAUCCUUGAAGGACCACCAGUGGCGAAGGCGUCUCACCAGAACGGACCUGACGGCAAGGGACGAAAGCUAGGGGCACGAACC